UAAGGAAUAUUGGUCAAUGGACGCAAGUCUGAACCAGCCAUGCCGCGUGAAGGAUGAAGGUCCUCUGGAUUGUAAACUUCUUUUAUCUGGGACGAAAACGGGAUUUUUAUCUCAAUUGACGGUACCAGAGGAAUAAGCACCGGCUAACUCCGUGCCAGCAGCCGCGGUAAUACGGAGGGUGCGAGCGUUAUCCGGAUUUACUGGGUUUAAAGGGUGCGUAGGUGGGCUUAUAAGUCAGUGGUGAAAUCUCCGAGCUUAACUUGGAAACCGCCGUUGAUACUAUAGGUCUUGAAUUAUCUGGAGGUAAGCGGAAUAUGUCAUGUAGCGGUGAAAUGCUUAGAUAUGACAUAGAACACCAAUUGCGAAGGCAGCUUACUACAUAUAAAUUGACGCUGAGGCACGAAAGCGUGGGGAUCAAACA
rnacentral:rRNA from 1 species